CGCACUGCCUCUCAAGCCCCUUGUCUGCCCUUCUCGGGAGCCGGUGAGGUGCUGGAAGGGCCACGUGACCCGAGGGAGCGAGGUGACCGGGAGCACCGUCCGCCUGCGGACCGCAGCCCACGCGGUGACAGAUUGGGGCCCACAUGGGUGACGGAGAUCCCGGGUGAGAGUCUGGGCAGAGUGAAACUGCAGCUAAGGGGGUCCCUGUGCCUCAUCCCGUCACCAUCUGGACGGGGGCCGUCAAGAAGUAACUAGGAGCACAUGAGGCCCUGUGGGUGACCCCUAACCCCAUCCGACCCGUGCCCUCAGACGAAGACAUUUGGACACACGCCGAGUGCCAGCCCUGGAGGAGGUCAGCCAGAGGCCGUGACCGCCCAUGGACCUGAGGGCGGGGCCUGUCCCUGGAAGGUGCGCUCUGCCAGCCCCUCCCACAGUGGGCGCUGUUCCAGGGACGCAGCCUUGUCAGAGGAAGCUGGCCUUGAGACCCUGGACCCAGAAGAGGCCUCCACACAAACUGGGAAGAGUGACAGCCCAGGGCUCUUAAGCAAGAGUGACGCUGACGCCUGCUCCAGUGCUGGGAAGACUAUUCACGAUGCUCCAGCAGCUACAGGACACUCCUGGCACCUCUCCUGAGCCACACCGCCUUCAGUCCCCAGCUCUCCAGCUUGGGCGUCCCUGUCCUCAGCCCUGGAGGGGACACCGCGGGCCUCCCACAGGGCUCCUGAUGUGCGUCUCUGCGGGUUCUCCGGACCUGCAAGAGCCCUUUCCCCCUGGGAGUUCGGCGGAGGCGGCGGAGGCGGGGGCUUUGCUGGACUCUCACCGUGGGGGAGGGGCUCAGUCCGGCAGCCCCUCGUCCCUCCCCAAGCAGAGGACACACUGACGCCCCCUCCGGGGGUUCUGCGGGGGAGGAGAGCAGAGCUGGGCCUGGCACAGAGAGUGACCCGGCAGACAGGGUGCCCGGCCAUCCCGCGCUGGC